AACGAACGCUGGCGGCAUGCCUAACACAUGCAAGUCGAGCGAGGACUUCGGGUCUAGCGGCUGAUGGGUUAGUAACGCGUGGGGUUGUGCCCUUGUCUACGGCAUAGCCCUGGGAAACUGGGAGUAAUACCGUAUACGCCCUUUUGCGGAAAGAUUUAUUGGAGAGGGGUGAGCCGGAGUGGGAUUAGGUAGUGGGUGGGGUAAUGGCCUACCAAGCUGACGAUCCGUAGCUGGUUUGAGAGGAUGAUUAGCCACACUGGGACUGAGACACGGCCGAGACUCCUACGGGAGGCAGGAGUGGGGAAUCUUAGACAAUGGGGGCAAACCUGAUCGAGCCAUGCCGCGUGAGUGAUGAAGGCCUUAGGGUUGUAAAGCUCUUUCAGCUGGGAAGAUAAUGACGGUACCAGCAGAAGAAGCCCCGGCUAACUCCGUG
rnacentral:rRNA from 1 species